rnacentral:lncRNA from 1 species
GAUGCAAUGUCAGCUAUCUAGGACAGAAACAUCCAAGGCCGUGCUAGAACUCAAUUACAACUACAUAUGCAUUACAGCAGGAACUGGCAGGCCUCUGGGCUACAGCAACUAUAGGGCUUGUGCUUCCCGACUGCCAGGCUAUAAUCUAUGAAACUGAGCCCAGAUCCAGCCAAUCAGUUCACUCCUCAUAACAAGUCUAACUGGCUCUGGAAAGCUGAAAGGGCUGCACUGGAGCAACGUAGAUGAGAUAUUCCACACAAUGAUCUGCUUAUCUAGAAUCACUUUGCCUGGAAAGACCAGAGAAAAAUCACUUUGUCUAAGGAAAGGACAGGUGAUCUGGCAAAACCACCACGGGACCUGGAGCAAGAUCCUCUGGCUUGGCAGUUCAGCGCUGCCGGCAUUAAAGGACCUGAGGCUCCCCAGAAACCAGAGGGCAACCACCACAGCAGCAAAACACCAAGGUAACUUUCAUCUCCCUUUUUAUUUUUAGUAGGAGUAAUGCUCAGUGAAAGGGAUCCACAUUAAGGAGCUUAGGCAACUCACUAGGCUUUGUUUUUAUUUCACUUUUCUCUAUCCUAAGCUUUUGUAGAAUGAAUUCUUAUUAAGUACGAGUAGAGAGAGGCUUAAUGUUCCUGAAAUAAACUUGAAACUAAAAUGAUCAGUUGUAGAGGCCAAUAGAGAACUGUCCAGAAGUGUUUUAGAGCUACCUUUCCAGAUGGGCCGCCUUUUCAUUCAUUCACAGAAACAAGGGUAAAUGGGGCUGGCAGGGAGGAGGGAGAAAGGGGUUCAGGAGCAUAAUUGCCUGCUUUCCCUAUCUGGGAGGAAAUAACUACACCUAGAGAGAAUACUGGGAAAUUACUGCCUUCCUCCUCUGAUUCUUGGCACUGAGCGCAGAAGAAUGUUCCACAGUGGGAAGGUUGGGGUAGAAUACCUUCAGAAUCACAAGAGAGAGUGACAGUGCCCCCAUGGUCCAGGUUGUACUUACUAGCUCUUGUUUUACUUUUUCCUUUUUUUGUUGUUUUUUGUUUUAUUUUACGUAUUUUCUUUACAAUACCUUGCUUAUUUUCCAUACAUUUUUUUCAAUAUUUUUUAGUUGCAGAUGGACAAAAUACCUUUAUUUUAUUUAUUUAUUUAUGUGGUGCUGAGGAUGGAACCCAGUGCUCUGCACAUGCCAGGCAAGCACUUUACCACUAAGCCACACCCCAGCCCUUAUUUCCCAUUACAUUUUAACUGUUAGUUAUGCCAGUUAUUUGUUAUAACAUACUUCUAAAUUAGUAGUUAUUAAAGAAGCAGUGGGAAACAUUUUUAAAUCAAAAUUACUAUAGAAGUGACUGAUAUAGGAAAGCAUAAACAAUAACCCCAGAACAGGAUUGACAUACACAUAACCCCAACCCCACACAACUUGGAUACUUAACAUUCUUUACCUGCUGACAGUUCCUUCCAAGUCCUUAGCAAAUUGUUUUUUUUUUAACAAAUUUUGUAGCAAGUAUAAUACUAGCAACAACAACAAAAAAAAUUUUUUUUGCAGUAAACUUUUAAAUAACUAAAUCAGUCAUUAUGCUUUCAAAGUGACAACAGAAGUUACACAAUAUUCAAUUUGUGUUGUUGGAUUUAUAAGUUCCGAAAGGUAAAAGCUAAAAAGAAAAACUUGCUUUGUUUAGUGGUAAAAUAUAAACAGCAGUAACGGAAGAGACAUUUAUGCACUUUUUGUUUGCUGUAGAUAAUUGACUAAAUUCAACUGGAGAUUUGACUCCAGGAAGAAAAAACAACAAUAUAUAGAGAAUAGAAAAAUUAUAAUCCAUUGAAAGUUUCCUCCCAGGUUUUACUCUUUUAAUUGUCCAAUUUAGCCAGGGAAGACUAUUUCUGCUCUGUUUAAAUAGUUUUUUAUUUAAUUUAACCUGUAUUUAUUUGACAGUGCUGCUGACUAUGGUGACCACAUGAAAACAGAAACUUCUGAGAAAGUCAGGCUAUUAGCACUGUUGUCCCUUUUACUCAAAGAUAAUAUAUAUUAUUUAGUCUAAAAUGAAAAACAAGUCCUUAAGAUAAUACUGGCAUUGAAUUCUCGAUAUCAAACUCCCUGCUUUUCACUCCCUUAAUAAAAUUCCAUUAAAAUCCCCUGCACUCUCAUAUUCAAAUCUCUAUUUUCAACCAACUAAGCCAAGAAUAUUCUAAACUGAGUUAUGUAAGUCAUUACCCAAAAAUUUCCCAUAGAAAAAACUCACCACCUACAAAUUUAAAGAAAAUUAUCUUGCUGCCUAAGACAAUGGCCAACAAUCAUAGGGCAAGUUUGGAAUUGAGUUUUCACAACUUUUGAACAUUCUCUGUGUCGACAUGUAACUGAGUUUUCAACUGACCCCUGGCUUGAUCUUUGGCCCUUAAAAACACCAAAAGUUUUGUUUAACUCAACAUUAAACUGUUCAUUUGUUACUAAUGUUCACCCCAAACCACAUUCAUAAGAAUUUUCUAAAAGAACAGCACUGCCUUCCCUCUUAGAAUCAUAAUGAUCACAAAAACCUGAGACAUGUGCCUGUAACUGGGCAUUUUCCUGGAGAUUUAUUUUCUAUACCCUAUUGAAACACAAUUCUAUGACCAAAGCAAGAACUAAUGUUUGUGUGUAUCUGUAUCUAUAUCUAUCUAUAUAUACGUAUAGAUAGAUGGAUAGAUAGAUAGAUAGAUAUGAUAGAGAUAUUUAUAUAGAUAGAUAUAGAUAUGAUCUUAGAUACUAUAAUCUUCUUUUGCCUAAAAUUGCUAAUGCAACAUGUCAGAGUCUGCUAUAGCAGGCAUCCUUUUCAAUUCAUUAGGACUUAUAUUAGCAGGUUCUGGCUAGAGAAACUCUUUCCUGUCAUCACCAUCAGUUAAUAUUUGUUAGCUAUUGCAUCAGAUACUGGCUAAGAAGCUCAUGGAUCCAAGAGUCACCCAAACAGCUGAGUUCAGUUCUUGGUCCUAUUUCCUUGAUCUUAACCCCAGAGACAAUGAUUAAGAUGAUCCCCAACAGAAAAGUAACUCAGGAAUGCAAACCCUUUUCUGAAGGAAGAACUGUCAGCAAAUCUCAAGUAUCAGAGCAGCUAUGGUUGACUGAGAAGUUUCUCCAUACUUGGGCCAAGAAUGAUUUCUGGGCCCAUAAGCUAAUUUGCCUAGCCCUUAGUUUAUGGAGCCAAAGUCACUCAUGAGAAAAUUAUAGGAAACAUUCAGACCCACCAUGUCAGCACAUCAAGCCAAUUAAGACUAGCAGGGCAUUAACUCCAUCCCAGGUGACAUGGAUAAAUAGCCCCAAUAUUUUCACUAUGCUAAGACCUGCUAAAGAAACCCCAGUCUGUGGGAUGUUCCCUGGUAGGGAGCAGCUGACAGUUCUAACUCUAACACUGGGAGCCAGCAUCUUAGGAUGUUAACUGAAAGAAAAAUACUUGCUUGGAAAAUGUCAAUGAGAAGACUUGCCUCAUCUUAACAAAAAUAUUUUAAUUUAAAUUAAAAAGCAUGGGUAGUAGAGAUGUGAGUCUGAGGUCACUUUAGGUACUAAGCUUAUAUUCUUGGUUCAGAAAACAAAUCACUUUAUCUGGGCACACAGACCUGAAAAUGACUUUGCCUUUUGCACAUAGGGGGAAUUCUUAGUGGUUGGUUUGUUUAUUCAUUCAUUCAUUUGUUUGUUUGUUUUGUGGUACUGGGGAUCAAACCUAGGGGCCUACGCAUGCUAGGCAAGCACUCUACCACUAAGCCAUAACACAGACCUGUGUAGUAUUAAUUCAGUCUCUCCUAAGAAUAUGAACAUACAGAACCAUACUAAUAAUGCAUGUGACAAGACUCCAAAAUAUAUUACACUUAAGUGUAACACAAACUAUCAAUUUUUAAAUUCACAUAGUCAAAACUCUUCUUGUAAGUAAUGAGACCUUAACACAGGAUCAGUUUUCUGUGGUCUUGUUCUGUGUCUAAGUUUCUCUAAAGUAUUAUGACAUGGUAUACACAAAAAUUGGUAAUUAUGUAAUUAGUAAGAGAAAACUUUGGGAGGUACAUUACUAAUGUCAUGCUAAAAUUAUAUCUUCGCUUCUAAAAGCAAAGAUAUAAAGCAGUAGAACAUAGAGGUUGAGGGCAUAAAAUUUGAAACCAGACUGCCUGGGUUCAAAUCCCAGCUCUGACCUUUCCUGCAGGAUCUUGGGCAAACUACUUAAUAGCACUUUGCCUCAGUCUCCUCAAAUGUAAAAUGGUGCCAUGCUAUCUCCUAGGACUGGCGUGAAGAUUAUGAGCAAAUGCAUGCCUACAACUGAGCCCAUUACAUGGUGAGUGUUCAAUAAAAUUAUCAUUUUGUUUAUUAAUUUUAUUACAAUAAAUGUACACAAUAUUCAAAACAAAGGUAAAUUAUUUAAACAGGUAGAUGUGGUGAAACAUAUCUAUUCUCAUCACAUGUUUCUUGAGGCCUCCAAGAGAAUAACACAAUAAGGUGGAUAGGUCACUGUUUGUUAAUUGUCAGUUUUCUGCCUGGUUAUAACUUGACACUUUUCACCCUGCCCUUCAUUUAGUACUCCACACAAGGACACAUACCUAGGACGUGACAUAGAGGGGUAAUUGCAGUAGAUAUGAUACAUAUGAUAGUUGGCACAAAGUUCAGGCUAGUUAAAGAUUCCUGCAUGAAAGGAAAAAAAGUAAUGGAAGUCAUUAAUCUUCAUCCCUGGUAUGCUAACCGAAAGAGAUUCCAAUGGAGAGGGAAAAAGAGAGAGAGAGAGAGAAAGAGAGAGAGGGAGAGUUACCUAUCAUGAACAGCUGUGCUGAUUAUCCACAAUAUAUGAACCGUGUCUGGAAUUCAUGCUGAAUUCCCAGCUUAAAAAUGGAAGAACAUUGAAGCUAAUUAUCUCGUCUCCUCCCAGCAGUGAGGGACUUUUCAGAGAGGGAGAAUAUUAACUGAGAGUUAGACAGACUCACUGAGAAGGGAAAAGGAAAAUACAUAAUGUGCUUGGUUAAGGAAUGUGUACACUGGGGAAGGAGAAUAGACUUCUACACUCGUUCAUUCACUCACUCAUGAGGAAGCCCCACCCUCAUCCUCAGCUUUGACACAAAUACCCACCCUUAAGCACACCCUUCCCUGGCACCCACUAUCUAGACCAAGAACAAUGAUGUCCAUCACUGUGAGCCCUUCCUGUCACUCCUCUUCAUAGAAGGUGGUUACUCGCUACUGAGUAAAUUAAUGAAUCUGUACCACUUGCCACAUAAACUAGCACUAAAAGACAAACAUUGAACAAAUUGGGGGACAUUUCAGUUUAGCCAAAAAAAAAAAAAGGCCUAAAAAUGAAAUGUAGGGCAAGAUCAGAAUUACAAUGAAAUCAAAUGUUAAGACUUAAUAGACCUGAGACAAACUUUGCUAUAGGCAGGAAUCAUCUCUGAUCUUUCUCAGCAAGUUGAUAAAGAAAUGCAGUAAAGGGGCUGGGGAUGUGGCUCAAGCAGUAACGCGCUUGCUCGCCUGGCAUGCGCGGGGUGCUGGGUUCGAUCCUCAGCACCACAUAAAAUAAAAUAAAGAUGUUGUAUCCACCGAAAAAUGAAAAAUUAAAUAUAUAAAAAAAAAGAAAUGCAGUAAAGCCCACUGUGGUUGCCAGAAAUAAUCACAUAUUUGAAAGCUUUGUGUGGGGCCUGGCUAAGAGUUGAAUGAGCUAAGCUAAGUCGUUUUGAUUCUAGUUAUCCUGUUCCUAGAAGAAGAAGGAUUGGGGGUUAAGGGGUAUCUAGGACUCAGCAGUGGGUCUUUAUCUCUGCCUUCUCCCUCAAUUGGUUCAGCGACAGAAUCGGACAUGGAAUCCCCCUCCCAGAACCCAUUCGUACCAUUGAGGUGUCACCACCUGAAACAUUGCUUGUGUCUAGGAGGUGGCCAAGGGGACCAUUACGCAGCACCAGGCAUUCACUGAAGAAGAGGAGCAUGGGAGGUGCUGGAGAAUUUUAAGAAAUAAAAUAACUGCUCUGGUUCAGAUGUUGGUCCUAGGAUGGCAGUAUUGGGAGGUGCUUAGGUCACUGGAGACAUGUCCCUGAAGGGAACUGUGGGACCCUGGUCCCAUUCUGUGCUUCCUGAUUCAUGUUCAGUUUACUCCAUCAUGUACUCCCACCAUGAUGUGCAAUCGCUGCCGAAAGCCCAAACCACUGGGGCUACCCAAUCUUGGAGUAGAACUCUGAACUGGAAUAAACCACUCUUUACUUCCUAAGUAGCCUGUGUCAAGUAUUUUGUUACAGUGACAGUAAGCCAACUAACAUAGUAACCCUUAGAAUUGAGACAGAUCUAGUUAUCUUUAGCCCUUCUCUUACUUUUGCCCCCUCCCCUGCCCCAAACUCAGUCUCCCUGUGUUCACCAGCUUCCUCCUCCAAAGUGACCCACAGAGGGACCUACCCUCUCUUCUCACCAGAUGAAUCUUUCUAAGCCAUUCCCAGAGCAAUAGAUAAAACUAGCCUGUGAAAAUAUGAUUAAAUGUUUCUGCUACCUUCCAACUGGUAUUUCAUUUUAUAGGGCUUUCCAGAAAUAAAGCUGAGAAGCAAAUAAAAAAAAAAAAACACUAGUGAAUAUUUCAGGCCCCAUGGAGCAUGACAAUGAAGACAUGCAGAAGGCAGGCGGGGCUUUCUGGGCCUGGGAAUCACACCACCACAUCAGCCACCUCUCUCAGGCAUAAGCCAGCUCCUGUAUGCAUAGUCCUGGGUCAAGGAGAAUGAUAUGGUUUCACUUCUCCAUGCAGGGCUACACACAUUAUACAAGCUGUAUAGCCUCUAUGGUCCCUCUCUAUGUCCAGAAUGCAGGCUACCACCAAGCAAGGAAAGAUUUCCCACAACAAAAGUGAAUACCAUAGAAUUCCCCCAAAGUAAUUUGGCUCUGGAAGCACAUUUACUGUGAUAAGCAACUAAAGAGAUAUGGGUAGUUCUGUGUCUCAGAGUCCACAGGACUUUAUUUUAUUUAUUUAUUUACUGUGAUAAUUUAAGAACAGAAAUAAGAGGAGUGGAGCACUAUAAACUCACAGUGGCCCUUGAACUUGUUAAAAUGGUAGAUACCUGACUCCCAUUACAGAAUGCUAAUGCUAUUGUUCUAAAAUAGAGACAAGGAAACUGCAUUUUCAUUGCCCAUUCUUGUAAAGCCAGUCAUUGGUGCCCAGUCCUAUAGAAACAUUGAGACAGGGAAUUUAAACCACUUAACACAAAGCCUAGAGCACGGCAAGUUCUCAACAGCAAGACUCAGAAUCAGUUCCCAACUUCAUACACUCAACUUAGACUUGACCUAUUGCUAAGUGAAAAUUACACAUAGGUGUGGCAGAAUAGUAGCAAGCCCGGAAUUAUUUGAGUGCAGUAAAGAGACAUGAGAGUGGGGGUACAGGACAGAGAGGCUAAUUUGUGUUCUAAUGAUCCUUUAACCAUUAAUGUAAACUCUUCAACCCCAAUUAUCUUCUAUUCCACAGUGUCAAGAGUUCUGAAAAGAUUACACAACAAUAUGAAAAAUAAUUAUCCAUGGACCAGAAAUUUCCAAAGUGAAAACAUUCAAAUAUUGCCUUUAUUUUUAAGACUCAGAUUCAGAAAGCAAAAUAAAGUUAUUUGUUUGUUUUAUAGUGCAAAGUAGGCCCCGAGUGAAUACAGUUGAAAAGUGGCUGACUCCGCCAACUUUAGCACAGUAUCAGAGAACUGAAUCCCAAACCCAGUUGGCUAUUGUUCUCCCAUGAGACCUGGCCAUUUCACUUUACUGAUGAUGAGGGUCCUCUGCAGGUGGCUGAUGCUGAGCAUGUCUACUUGCCACUUGGAAUCGCACCUCUCAAUAAAUGGGGUGGACUUCAGGAAGUCUUCUGUUUGGCUUGCAUGCUCCUGAGCAUAGGACAAAGCUCUGUUGUUUAAGAGCAUAAACAACAAAAGCAUUGUUCUUGCAAACCAAGAGGAAAACUGUAGAUCUAUCCAAAAUCACUUGGUCUUAAAACUGCCUAAGGAUGACAGGAAUGAGGUAUUAUUUUAGGCCACCCAUCAGUGCCAGUCAUUCAAUCUCCUCUCUUGGCUUCAGAAAACAAUGACUCAAUAUGGCCAUUUUCUGACAGACUUCAGCCUUAGGAAAAUACUGUUCCACAUAUUUGGAACUAGGGUUCUUCCUGCAUUAAAAUAAAUGGAAGCUAUUCAAAGCCCAUCUCUCUUUGAAUCUUGGGCAUAUGAAUACAGCUGUUUGUACUCAAAUAAUGAAAGAAAGAAGAAAACUCUGAAUGAAAAAAAAAAAUCAAAGACUGUUUUUACUCCAUCCCGGUGCUUGACAUGGGUUUUACUGCAAUUCUCACAAUGACCUGUAAGAUGCUGGUAUUGUUAUCCCCAUUUUUACCAAGAAUAAGAAAGUUUAAAUAAAUUUUCCUAAGGAAGAAAAAUAGAUAAGCCGCACAGCUUGAAGUCAAAUCAGAAACAGUAAAAGUAUACAAUCUUUCCUGUUAAGAUUUAAAUGAAUAACUUCUCAUGCAUCUACUAUUAUAACUUUAUAUAAAUGUGACAGUUCUAACAACCUGUUUUGUACCACUCAACUUUCCACGUCAAUAUCUGAAGCACUGCACUAUUUUUUUAUUGAAUACAUGAUAUUUCAGAUUUUGUGGCAGAUAUUUGCCAUAAUUCACCAUGCCUGUGCCCUAUUGAUAAAUAUUGAUGUUAUUUCUAGUUUUCCCCUUAUAUACACAUUUGCAAACAUACUACAUAAAUGUGUUUUCAUUUUUGUGUAGUUUCCUCCUUAGGAUAAAUCCCAGACUGCAAACUGUUGAGCAAAGAGCUGUCCAUUUUACAUUUCAAUACUUCUGAGCCACCUGCCCUCCUGAAAGGUUGUAGCAGGCAGCUGCAAGAAUACACCCAGUUCCUCCAACCCACCAGCACACCAGGUUGCACCAACCAUUUACAUUUCUGCCAAAAUCACAGGGGGAAGUAGAAGCAUUCCUAUUCUUAUCUGAUUAGGCCUCUUUUUUUAUGUAUAGGUCACUUGAAUUCUUCCAGAAAUUAAUUAUCCCCAUUCUCUAUCUUUCUAUUGGAAUCUAACUUUUAAAUUUUUCAUGAGGGCUUUCUCCCACCCCUUGCUGUUUUCUUGUUGUCUGGGCCCUCCAGAGCCUAUGUGCUAGUACAUUGGAGACUUUGAUUUAGAGCCAAGAAAACUUCGGCAACAUAUUACCAGGGUGAUUAGUCAAGUGCCAUAAAAUAUGUUCGAAGAAGAAAAACUGGUUAAGUCUAAAGAACAGAAAACCAUAAACUUCUCCUUGGUUGUCUGCUUCAGAAAUAGGUCAGCCCCUGACUUUAUCAGCUGUUGUUUAUCUUACCAGAAACAAUGAUCCAUUCAGACUUAAUCUUGUUCUUCUGCACAGAGAAAUUUGGAUAAUAGAAGAGGGGCCAAGAACAGUUUGGAGGAACAUUCCAAGAAAAGGGGGACUGAGCACUGAUGUGGGCAAGCGCGCGUGCGCACACACACACACACACACACACACUUCUAUGCCCCAGGAAGAGGCAGACCACAAAGAAUCACAGAUUGUUCGUGCUGAGGCCUGGCUUAGAGAUGCCCUCACACAGAGGAAAAUGAGUAACUUGUCUAAAAUCAUCAGGAAAAGAGUAAUUCCUGACUCCUGCAUCCGAGCUCUUGCCACUAGAGGACACUGGCCAGAGGUAAAGCAGAGCCCAAGUUGAGUCCCUAGAGCUUAGGACAUUGAUUUUGCCUCCCAGAGUCCCAAAGUUAUAUUAAAGAGCAUUAUGGCAAGAAUACCCUCACCCUGACCCAGGAAUUUACACAAAGAGGGCUGAGCCACACAACCGGCCAGCAUCUUCCUACUACUGCCUGAUCUGAUUGCUAUAGGCAAAGGGCUUCAGGGACAAUGUUAUUCUGCCCUCUUGUUCCAGUACUCAAGAAAGAACAUGACCAAAUGCAAUCAGCAAAGCAGGGCUGGUGUCCAGCUUUUCUCCUUACAAACAGCACUUGCAUAAUUAGCUUAAUUUAUUCCACCCUGUCUGCUCAGAUUCAGCCAAAUUCAGGCUCUGAGCUGAAGAAAACUGAGCCUGACCAUAUAAUAGUCCUAGCCUCACAGAUGGGCUCCUGUCUUAUCCAGGAGAGAUCCAGAUAUGUCCAAAUCCCUGAAAGGAGAACCUGAAGAAGAAACGCAGCCUCACAUGCAUUCCACUGAGAUGACCAAAGACAAGCAGCCAGUCGGCCAUCCAACUCAGUAAUAUGCUAGUCCCAUCAUGAAACUUUGCCAAACCCAAACAAAGGCCACACUUCACCCAACACAGAUGCUUAAAAGUGAUGCUGGAAAGCCAGCCUCUCCAUCACUUCUCAACUUGUAAGCAUUUUUCUAAUAUCUACAUGGGCCAAGAGAAUAAAUAGUUCACAGUGAGAUUUGAAGAACAACAGGGAAAACUAUUUAGAAUGGUCUAGAAUUCAACAGGGGGAUUGAUUUGUGCCAGGAGUUACACAUAAUUAUACCAUUUAAUCCUCACUACUUCCUAUGUAGGCCUUUUUACCCAAACAUGUACAUAAGCAAGCUGAGGAAAUUAUAGAGAAUAGCACAUUUCUGGGCUCAGCUGACUUCUCUACAGAAUUUUGUGGACUUUCACUGUGACAUUACCAGUUCUUCCAAAAGACCAAAGGAAAAGUCUGUCUUGAAUGUUAACCUAUUAUAAAGGUCAGUUCCUGUCUUCUUAACAGACUGAUUCCCCUCCGAUUCCUCCUUGGGUGGGAGAUUGGAGGCUGGGUGGUUAUCUAUCUUAUGCUGCUGUCACUCUUUGGGAAGAGGAUGCUUCCCAUAAGAGAAAAUUCUUUCCAAAACUUGGUGCUUAUUUUAGGAGAGCUGUGUGGAUUCCCAGCCAUCGUCACACAGGAAAUCUUAUACCUCUAAAUCAAAGAUAAACUCUUCAAGUAAAUUUCAGAAACCCUAUUGUUCAUUGUAGACUCUAAAAAUAAACAGCAAAGACUGAGACAGAGGAAGUUGAACCGCUGGUCCGGAGCAUUUGGGAACACAUGAAUUUUCAGCAGAUAAGCUAAACCCUAUAGUAUAUUUCUCUCAUCUUUGGAGUUUUUCCAACAGCUUUCAUAGUUCCAAGGGUUUUUCUGCUGAUUCCAAAAGUUACAUUACAUCUGAUUCGUUUUUGUUACUCAAAACAUUCACUUUUGAUGAGUAAAUUUGCUACUUCAAAAAAAUUUCUCCAAACAAUGGUCUAAAAGAAACUGAUCCAAAGGAGUUUUCUACUUGGAAAUAUUUAUAAUAUACCUAUACAAUACUACAUUAGGGAAAAUAUCUAAUCCCACAGUUAAUCCAAAACAAAAUAUGACUUGUAAGUACUAAGUACUUAUAAGCAACUCAAUAAAUAAAUGAUAGUGAUAAUAGUAACAUGCAUUUAGAGAAAUUUGUUAUUUCAAAACAUUUUCUCACAUGUCAUUUUAAAUGACCCUCAAAAUGCCCAUGGCAGGGGCACUGCGAACUUGCUUAUAUAUAACGACUUAUAUCCUGGCUUUGUCACUUGUUAGCUCUGUGACCUCGGACAGUUUACUUAAGUAAUCUGAGCCUCAGCUCUUUCAGUUGUGAAACAUGAAUGAUAAUCCUUCCUUGCAGAAUGGAUGAGAGACUUACAGACAACAUAUGCCAAAGGCACAGCAAGUACCAAACAUAUGGCAGAUAUUUAGAAAUGGAAAUGAUCACUAUUAUUAUAAGGCAGGACUGAUAUCAUUAUCCCUUCUUAAAGUUGAGGCAGCUGAGCUGAAAGAGCUCAACUGAUUCUCCCAGUCACUACAGCCACCAGAAUACCAGAGUUAGGACUGGAACGUGGGUCUCCAAUCUGCCAAAGAAAAGAAUUCUCUGCAUUCUUCAAAACUCAAUCUGUGAAAAGUAGAAUUAUUGCAAAACAAGAGAGUUGAUCUAUGAAUCUUGAAGAUAGUCAAUCCAUGCUUUCAACAGCAAAAGGCAAUUAAGUUAAAGCUCUGCCGCCAUGAUAUUGUUCUCAACAGGAACACAAUUUAACUGAAGCAAAUGUGUCUUGUUUGGAGAUAGCCAACACCUUCUAAGGAUUUGAUGCAUUUUAUCUUCACCAUCAUUCAUAUCUUUUUUUUUAAUGACCUGCUUUCAAACUUUUACUAAUCCUGACAUUUCUGAGUGGGUCAUCUGCCCAUCAAUUGAAGGGAAAUCAUUUCUGAACAAAAUAAAUCAAAAGUAAGAGACACUUACCACCUCCAGAAUGCUCCUGGAGCUCACCAGUUCAAUUACCAUUUCAAAUACUCAGUUUAUCCCUCCUAAGCAGGAAUAUGGGUCAUUUUAAGACUUUUGGUAGCUUCUGACACAUGCCGGACAGAACAUUUUUAUCUUCAUUUUUUUUCAGUUCCAGAUUUAAAAUUAAUUCUAUAUGUUCUUCUCAAAAUGUAUUUAUAAUAAGUUAUUACAUGCAGCAUUUUUGACAAUAAUUUGAGACCUGCCUCAAAUUAGGAUGUUUUCAAAACCCUAAACAAGAACAAACUUCCGUGAUGCUCUCUAUAGACAGUAGCUGGGAUGUUUGUGAAAUCACUGAAAUAAUACUGAAGCUGAGUAUCAUUUAUCUUGUCUAUCACGUGCUGGAAUAUUUGGAGUAAAGACAAUCAAAUGAGUGUCAAUAUUAACGCUAAUGAAUGAAAAUGGAAGAGAGAAAGAGUGAGAGAAUCCAGAAACACUCUCUCCCCUACAUACCUGGUAGAAAACAAGUCAAAACAUGUGAUGAUUUAUAGACAGCUACAAGAACAUCAACAUUGUAAAUAUUUACUUGAUACCAAGCCCAAUGUGCUAUUUAGCCAAUAACUAUUCCAAGUUGUUAGUAAGUUCUCCUUUCACUUCUUUAUUCUUGUCUAUUUUUUUUCUUUCUUUGGAACUUCUGUUUUUUUAAUACCUAGAUUUCUUUGCAUUUAUUUCUAUUUUCCUUUAUCCCCUGUUCUUUGUUACAUGAAAGUAUUCUCAGCACAAUCAAGAGUCUAUAGAAAUGUAAGGUUGUUGUAUUAUUGCUUCUUGUCAUCUUUCUUACUCAUGUCAAGACAAGUGAAAGGUCUUUAUAUUCUCACUAUUGUUACUAUAACUUGUUCCUCCCGGUUUUGUCUCACCUGGACUUCCACAGGUUUUUUAGAAUAUAACGUAUAAAUAUCAAUUUAUAAGGGCAGAGUUGAAGAUCUUUCCACUUUUUAAAUCUGGAAGCCAGCAACAUUCUUUGAACACCAUCUGCAAGCAUAAUAAUUGCACUGAAACUACAGGGGAAAUUCCAAGGACAUGAAAGAUGUUUCUUGACCUGAGUAAGCUUCAUGCCCAGUUAGAGUGACAAGCCAUACAAUGAGCACCUAAAGGGGACCUCUGUAAGAUGUACAGAUAACUAGAGUUCACACAGAGGGACAAUUCAAGUCAGCCAGGUUGAGCUCAUCAUGUAAAGUUUUCCAAAAACAAAUUUUAAAAAGGAAAAGAGUGAUGAGAAGUAAAAAGGAAUAAGAACAUUCUACCUGACCUGUUUCUGUUAGUAAAUAAUUUCUGUAAUCUUCUGCAGGCCCCUAGGGACUAUAAGCUCUCUGAUACCUUUUUUUUAUUAUUUUUGUUUUGAAUAUAUUAUCAAAAGCUCCCUUGGAACUUAAGAAAGCUCUAAUAUAUCUUAUUUUAUGCAUUUUUUUAACUUCCGCGAUCUGCAUAUUGCUUUUGUAUAAUCACAGCUUGAUUCUCUAGUUCUAUCAGGGUUUUGUUUUUUUUUAGGUCCUUUUAGGUAUAUUUUUAGAAUGACAUGUGAAAGGCAACUUUUUUUUUUUUUUUUGAAAAGCCAUUCUGCUACAUCUGCUGUUUGAGACAGCACUUGAGACUUUAUUUCAUCCCUCCCUGAUGCUCUAUGUUGUCCUUCAGGCAGUUUUAUUCUCUCUGCAAAAAGGAUCAGGUUACAAAACAGCCUUCUCUACACUGAAGUGGGGGAAGCCAAAGCCAAAUGAUCUAAAUAUAGUCAGAAUCUGUUGGACAGUUGAUCAAUAAGCACCAAGCCGGGAAUGUAAUUGUUUCUACCAUCUUUUCCCAACACUCUGCAUUUUCUUUUUCAAUUUUAUUUGACACCAAAGUUGAUAAAGUGGCUCUUCCUUGAAAAUGAAAAUGCAUCAUGGUAAAAAAAAAGUGGGGGGGGCAAGAUAUUUUAAACAAGAAGCCAGACUCCCAAUACCAGAAAAGCUUCUAUUUGUUGCUUUCUUAAUGACAGACACAGGUUGAAGACCAGGCUAUAAACAAAAGAGCUCCUAUAAACUGAGCCUCCCCACACAAACGCAUCAAAUGCUUCACCCACCUGCUUAUGGGACACAUACAUUUUGUUCCAAAAUAAGAGUAUAGUGCCAAAUUCAAAUAUCCAGAUGCAAUUAAUAUGUACUAUAUUUGCAUAAAAGUGAGUUUGCCCAUUCCUGAAAAUUAGAAUUUCUUGGGAGGAGGCUGUUGAUAAAUUGAAGAAGAAAUAAAAGAGAGGAAAAGCACUGUAAGAGAGUAUAGCAAGGGGAGACUUGGGUGGCCAAAGAACAACUUGAGGGGUAAAUAAUAUUUCACAAGUAAUAGUUUCACAUUAUUUCCAAAGGCCAAUCACAGCAAGGGCCAUGAAGAAGGCAUCAGCAUCUGUUAGCCCUCUGUCAAUCAGGGCUCUCACCACCAUUUUUUCACCUUUAGGCACCAUGAACAAUUUGCCUACUUGCUUCCAACCAAGCAAAUUUAAUAAAGCCCAUAGUUCAUCCAUGUGACUUCAAGUUUUAAGAAAAUAACCUUAGGAUGAAGCUUUUGUUUCACAAGUUAUCUUUUCUUCACGCAGCCCUGUCUUCUAGAUGGAGAAUGAAGAGCUCCCAAUGGAAGAAAGCAUAUCCAUGUACAUUUUUCUCCAUUGUGAGACGUCAAGCCGAGUGCUCUGUAUGUAAUACAGCCAUGGGUGUUUGCACAUUGUAAGCCAGUGUCAUAUUUGUCUUGUGCUUUUCAUCAUACAUUUGAUUUAGCAGGCAAAUUUUCAAGGCUCAGCGCUGAUGGAUGUACCCUGGAGCCAACUUCAAAGCCAGACCUUAGAUUUAUGGAAAUAAAUAAGCAUAGUACUUCAAUUACAAGUUCCUACUUUGAAUUCCAAUGUGCACAUAAAAAUGUUCAUCCUAAAAAUCCUGCCCUUGAUUUUUGACCCAGGAAGUCUCUUGAUUUUGCUCUUAGCACCAUUCUCAUCUCACCGUGCCAUUUUAACUCAGUCUGCUUUCACAAAUACAGUAUAAAAAUUGAGUUCCACCAUGUCCUAUAAUAUAUGUCUCUUUUUGCUAAUUGGCAAGCGAUUUUUGCAAAUUGGUGAGAGAUUUUUAAAAAGUCACCCUGACUAACUCUGGCCAAGCUGGGUAGCAGCUGGAAAGCCCACAGAGCCAACCCAAUUUGCAUCAUCUUAUCAAAGCUUUCAAAGUUUGGAUGCCAGUCAGCUGGUACCAUAGUGAAUUAGAGCAGUUCCCUACUUUGCCUAUAGUCUGAGACCCCAUGGCAAGUUCUCAAAGGGGACUGAACAGGGGCAGGUAAACAAGUAGUCAGCUGUACAAGAGCCUGCUACUGCAAAGCAUACAGAAAAUGACAGAGAUGCAGACCUGAAAGAACCAGAACAUGUAUCCACACACAUGCAUGUGUAUACACAUACAUACACACAAACAUGAAGUCACACGUGCACAUAUGUGCAUGUAUACUCCUGUACACACAUGACACAGUGGGAAAAUAGUUGUGACAUACUAAAGGGAAUGAAAAUUUCAAAAUUACUGUAAAUAUACUUUCAAGACUCCAAGGUUUGGAAGAGGGUAUUCCACAAGUGAUUCCUCUACCUUAAACAAUUAGGACAAAAAAAAACAAGGGGCAGGGGUGGUGAAUCCCUGAAAAUACAGAGCAUACCACCAGCAGAGAAUAAAAGACACUAAUGCUGCCAAAGAUUAGUACACAGAAUUCAGAUUUAAUAGUAAAAAACAGAGGGGGGUGGGGAACAAAAGAGAAAAAAGAGACCAAAAAGGAGAAGAAAAGAGAAGCCAAAGUUUCAAAGAGAGCUAAGUACAAAGGUUUAAGCUGAAAUGACACUGCAGGAAUAAAGGAGGCUUGUAACUGAAUUACUAUGAAAUAACGUUGGGCCCAAAAUGAGUGAUGGAACAUUUUUAAAUGUAGGAACUAAAAAAUCAGGAUGAGACAUUCUUUAAGUAAAUUAUAAUUCAAAUGGGAUAAAAAUACAGUUUAACAUUAGGUAAAUCAUAAUUCAAAUAGGACAAUAUAGUUUAACAUUUGGGGGAUUUAUAAAAAUAUGCAGUCGAUUUGACAAUUUUGAAAAAUACAACAAUAAAAAAGAAUAAGGAAGGAAGAGAAACAUCCUAUUAAUGAAAGAGAAUCUCUGUUAUCAUACAUUCUUCUGGUCACAUCUAUGCAAAUUGUGAUUACACUGUCUAUGCUGUGACUUUGUCAGCAUCACAACUUGUCAUAAUUUUUCAUGAUGUUAAAUGAUCUCCAAAACUAUAAUUUUUAGACAGUUUGAUGCCUAAUUUUUAUAUUAUGAACAAAAGUGCAUGAAUACCUUCAUACAUAAUUUUAAUUACUUUCUUUUUCUAAUUACAUAGUAAUUGCUUCCUUAGAAUAUACUCUUUUUUUAUAUUUGAGAAGAAAAUAAAGGGUAAAAGCUGGUCCUCUGGAUUCAUUAAAGCUUUUCUUUAUAUUCUUUUUAGUUACAUACAAUACCAGGAUACACCCUGACAUCAUCACAAAAGCAUGGAACACAAUCCACUCCAAUUCAGUCCCCAGCACUUCCCCGCUGCCCCCUAGUCCCCUCCCUCCACUCCACCCAUCCUUCUUCUAUGCACUUGAAGGAUUCGAAAGUGCAAAAUAACUUUUUAAAAAUUUUGUACCAUUUUUUUGCCACUUACAAUAUAUAAAAUUUUGUUUCACCACACACUAGGCACCAUGAGCAUUUAGGAGAAAAAAAAGUCUUUUGUUUGAUUAGUGGGGGUCAGAGGCACCUUUAAUCUAAAUCCAAUUUGCUAUUCAAUACAUACAUUCAACUCCUGAAUAUGCACAGAAGUUCUUAUACUUUUUAUAACCAUGAACUGCUUUGAGAGUAAUGUGAAACCUUUGAGAGUAAUGUGAACUUCUUUCUGUAAACAUGUUCACAUACAGUGAGAGAAAUUCCCUGGAGCUCCAUCAUAGAACAAUCUCUAACUGACUUCCAAACAUCCGACCCAGGUGGGACAUCUGAGCCAUUUAUAAUCUGGGAUGUCAAUAAUUAGUUCAAGCACAUAGAAACAUGCAUGGUUUGGUGGGAAAGGAUUCAGCUUGAGCCAUGAGGCUUGCUUUCCAGCUUUAGCUGGAAACAUGUUUAGAUCCUUGUCACAGGCUGGGCCUCUAGGUUCCCUUCCAUCUGCAAAUCCCUGGAGUUCCAAGAUAAUGUCACCCUUCCUUGGCAUGUUGUAGACGUCUGUUCUAUGGAAAGUUCAUGGUUAUUUUCUCUUUCUAGGUUCCUUGUUUUCAGGAGUAGAUGGGACUAUCUUCAACUCUAUUUGAUAUUUUCUCCAGAAUACCCAUUAAUGUCAAUACCAUUGACUGCAUACAUCUCUUGUCUUCCAUGACAAAUUGGGAACUUCUUGGGGGCAUAAAGUGUGUCUAACUCAACUGUGCCUAAUUUAUUCAACAUAUUCACCAGUAAAUAUCUAUUACAAUGAACUGAGAAAAUUCUAAACAAAAUAGAAAUAUGUUUAGGAUUUUGUUCCAAACAAAAGAGAAUAGUGUCUACAAUAUCAAAUAAAAGGAGUUCAGUUUUGCUUGGAUUGAUUAUAAUUCUUCGAAGUGUCUAAACAUGCAUAUGUAUUGACCAUCUUUUCAGCUUAAAUAAAAAUGUUUACUCAGUUGAUUUCUCUUAUUCACAAUAGUUAUUGUGCUGCUAUGAAGUUGCUGAAAAUACUGAAUUAGCAAAUACUAGGCAUUACUCCUAGGAGAAAACAAGGUAAGCCUCUGGUCACAACAUAGCCAUCAACCAAUCCUUAAAUAACCCUGUUGUAUGUGUUUCUGUGUACAUGCAUCUUAUCUAAUAUAUAUUGUUAGUUCUUACCACUGAAUGCACGCUGUCAACACCUCUACAAUUCAGUCCUGAAAGAAGUAUAUGUAACUCACAUGUGUCUUCUUCAAGGCACCUUUAUGCUGUCUUUCACUUAGGAAUGCUAGUCAAUGCUUGAGCACUAUGUUUCGAAACCAUUUCACACAGGGGUAUCACCAGCGAAAAGUGCAAAAACUCAAAAACACAGCACGAACCAUACCAUGAAAAAGAUACUUGCUUACAGUCAGAACUGAAACAAGAAGGCUAAGCAUCACCUUUUCUAGCCUCAGCU